rnacentral:rRNA from 1 species
AGAACGAACGCUGGCGGCAUGCCUAAUACAUGCAAGUCGAACGAACUCUUCGGAGUUAGUGGCGCACGGGUGCGUAACGCGUGGGAAUCUGCCCCUUGGUUCGGAAUAACAGUUGGAAACGACUGCUAAUACCGGAUGAUGACGAAAGUCCAAAGAUUUAUCGCCAAGGGAUGAGCCCGCGUAGGAUUAGCUAGUUGGUGAGGUAAAGGCUCACCAAGGCAACGAUCCUUAGCUGGUCUGAGAGGAUGAUCAGCCACACUGGGACUGAGACACGGCCCAGACUCCUACGGGAGGCAGCAGUAGGGAAUAUUGGACAAUGGGCAAAGCCUGAUCCAGCAAUGCCGCGUGAGUGAUGAAGCCUUAGGUUGUAAAGCUCUUUACCCGAGAUGAUAAUGACAGUAUCGGAGAAUAACGCCCGCUAACGUCCGUGCCAGCAGCCG